rnacentral:rRNA from 1 species
AGGAUGAACGCUAGCGGCAGGCUUAACACAUGCAAGUCGAGGGGCAGCAUGGUCUUCGGACCGAUGGCGACCGGCGCACGGGUGAGUAACGCGUAUACAAUCUACCUUUUACAGGGGCAUAGCCCGGGGAAACCCGGAUUAAUAUCCCAUGGUAUUAUUGAAUGGCAUCAUUUAAUAAUUAAAGUUUCGGCGGUAAAAGAUGAGUAUGCGUCCUAUUAGCUUGAUGGUAAGUAACGGCUUACCAUGGCCUUGAUAGGUAGGGGUCCUGAGAGGGAGACUCCCCACACUGGUACUGAGACACGGACCAGACUCCGUACGGGAGCAGCAGUGAGGAAUA